UGCUGAAAUUGGCAUUAGUGCCUCUCUAUGGACUAUCACACUAAAAAUAGAUCCAUCUCCUUUUUCCAUGUCUGAGCUGAAGUCUAAAUAAUUCCCAGAGCCGUAGUUUGAUGGAAAUCCUUUAGCAGAAGGUGCACAAGAGUUUUGUAACACUGUUUGCAGGCCUGCCAGCAGGGAGUGGGAGAGACCUGUCUGAAUCUGAAGAUCAGCAGUGAAUAGGAUACUGCUUUCCACCUAACAAGACUAAGCAGAUUUUCUCACUGAUUGCAUCUGAGAAAACCUACGGAGAGAGAGAGAGAGAAUAUGGAGAACAAAAUGUGUGCAACAUAUUUCUCUUGAUGUAUGUUUUCAUCCCAGCUGCUCUUGUAAUGGAGAUGUCUGAGAGCAUUUUGGACAUGAUGAACUGUGACCUUUAGUGAACAAUGGCCCAUCCCCAAUACACAGAGCUAAACUUUCUCAGACUAAGGCUUGUCCUCGUCCUCCCUACAGUGUGGCCAUCCAGGUUAGCAAUAAAAAUAAUGUCAAACAAUGAAGUAAAGCUGAGUCUGUUCUGCAAAGACUAGAGCAUCCCACCAGAGACAUCUGAGCCACAGAGAAAAAGCACACUGUCUUUAUUCACGGAAUGGUGAAUAAAUGGAUGCUCAUGCUGGCUGUGAUUUGUUUC
rnacentral:lncRNA from 1 species